rnacentral:rRNA from 1 species
GACGAACGCUGGCGGCGUGCCUAAUACAUGCAAGUAGAACGCUGAAGAGAGGAGCUUGCUCUUCUUGGAUGAGUUGCGAACGGGUGAGUAACGCGUAGGUAACCUGCCUUGUAGCGGGGGAUAACUAUUGGAAACGAUAGCUAAUACCGCAUAACAAUGAAUGACACAUGUCAUUUAUUUGAAAGGGGCAAUUGCUCCACUACAAGAUGGACCUGCGUUGUAUUAGCUAGUAGGUGAGGUAACGGCUCACCUAGGCGACGAUACAUAGCCGACCUGAGAGGGUGAUCGGCCACACUGGGACUGAGACACGGCCCAGACUCCUACGGGAGGCAGCAGUAGGGAAUCUUCGGCAAUGGGGGCAACCCUGACCGAGCAACGCCGCAUGAGUGAAGAAGGUUUUCGGAUCGUAAAGCUCUGUUGUAAGUCAAGAACGAGUGUGAGAGUGGAAAGUUCACACUGUGACG